rnacentral:rRNA from 1 species
GACGAACGCUGGCGGCGUGCUUAACACAUGCAAGUCGAACGGAAAGGCCCUGCUUGCAGGGUACUCGAGUGGCGAACGGGUGAGUAACACGUGGGUGAUCUGCCCUGCACUUCGGGAUAAGCCUGGGAAACUGGGUCUAAUACCGGAUAGGAGCCAUUUUUAGUGUGAUGGUUGGAAAGUUUUUUCGGUGUAGGAUGAGCUCGCGGCCUAUCAGCUUGUUGGUGGCGUAAUGGCCUACCAAGGCGGCGACGGGUAGCCGGCCUGAGAGGGUGGACGGCCACAUUGGGACUGAGAUACGGCCCAGACUCCUACGGGAGGCAGCAGUGGGGAAUAUUGCACAAUGGGCGCAAGCCUGAUGCAGCGACGCCGCGUGGGGGAUGACGGCCUUCGGGUUGUAAACUCCUUUCGCUAGGGACGAAGCUUUUUGUGGCGGGACCUAGAUAAGAAGCACCGGCUAACUACG